GAGUCAGACUCUGCGGUGGGGUGAUUUUUCCUGGCUGCCCCAACCCCUGUGAAGUGAAGGGAGCGUUGGCCGGAUCACUGGUCCUCACCCCUGUUCUUUCUACAGAUAAGAAACUGACCUGUGCUUCUGUCUUUACAGCCUCUGAUAUCACAGCGUCCCAGAUUCGGCAAAUUGUGAAGUGUCACUGCCGGUCUUUGUUGCAUCCAUUAUGUAUUAUCUUUGAACAUUACUCCGAGUGUGUAGACCUUUCUGUGACUAUGCUCCGCAUUUUCUUCUGGGCAGAGUUGGCGGAGGCGCUGUGCGGUCGCAGACACAGAUGCACGGGCACGCUCACACGGCGCAGCCGGAGCGAGGGGCGGCGGUUCAGUGGGCCCAGUCCCCGUGAUGUGGACUCAUUACAGCUGUGAUCGUUGCUGAUGACAUUAAUGCAGUGUGCCGCUUCUGCAUCGCACGUGCCAUCUGCUCCCAUCAGCCCUGUGGGGAUGCCCCAGAGGCUCAGAGAAUGGAAGAGAGAACAAUCCAGAACUCCUUUCUCCAGACAGCAGCCAGGAAGGCAGUCCCAUUUCUCUGGGGCAGGUGGCCACAAAGCUGGAAGUUUCUUUCUACCCUUACCCAGCACCCAUGGGCGGCUCUUUACAAAUGUCUUUGCACGUCUACAAACCAAGCAUCGUUACCCCCUACUUCAGAGAUAAGAAAACUGAGAUUUGC
rnacentral:lncRNA from 1 species